UGGGGAAUAUUGGACAAUGGGCGCAAGCCUGAUCCAGCAAUGCCGCGUGUGUGAAGAAGGCCUUCGGGUUGUAAAGCACUUUUAUCAGGAGCGAAACGCUGUCGGCUAAUACCCGGCGGAACUGGCGGUACCUGAGGAAUAAGCACCGGCUAACUUCGUGCCAGCAGCCGCGGUAAUACGAAGGGUGCAAGCGUUAAUCGGAAUUACUGGGCGUAAAGCGUGCGUAGGCGGUUUCUUAAGUCUGCUGUGAAAUCCCCGGGCUCAACCUGGGAAUGGCAGUGGAUACUGGGAGGCUAGAGUGUGUCAGAGGGUGGUGGAAUUCCCGGUGUAGCGGUGAAAUGCGUAGAGAUCGGAAGGAACAUCAGUGGCGAAGGCGGCCACCUGGGACAACACUGACGCUGAGGCACGAAAGCGUGGGGAGCAAACAGGAUUAGAUACCCUGGUAGUCCACGCCCUAAACGAUGCGAACUGGAUGUUGGUCUCAACUCGGAGAUCAGUGUCGAAGCUAACGCGUUAAGUUCGCCGCCUGGGGAGUACGGUCGCAAGACUGAAACUUAAAUGAAUUGACGGGGUCAUAGCUGUUUCCUG
rnacentral:rRNA from 1 species